GAUGAACGCUGGCGGCGUGCCUAAUACAUGCAAGUCGAGCGAACAGACGAGGAGCUUGCUCCUCUGACGUUAGCGGCGGACGGGUGAGUAACACGUGGAUAACCUACCUAUAAGACUGGGAUAACUUCGGGAAACCGGAGCUAAUACCGGAUAAUAUAUUGAACCGCAUGGUUCAAUAGUGAAAGACGGUUUUGCUGUCACUUAUCGAUGGAUCCGCGCCGCAUUAGCUAGUUGGUAAGGUAACGGCUUACCAAGGCGACGAUGCGUAGCCGACCUGAGAGGGUGAGCGGCCACACUGGAACUGAGACACGGUCCAGACUCCUACGGGAGGCAGCAGUAGGGAAUCGUCCGCAAUGGGCGAAAGCCUGACGGAGCAACGCCGCGUGAGUGAUGAAGGUCUUCGGAUCGUAAAACUCUGUUAUUAGGGAAGAACAAAUGUGUAAGUAACUAUGCACGUCUUGACGGUACCUAAUCAGAAAGCCACGGCUAACUACGUG
rnacentral:rRNA from 1 species